AGAAACAUAAGAAGUUACAUAAAUUAUUGAUUUGUUUUCAUUGAUAGAUAAUUUAACAAAUAGACUUGGUGUUAUGUAAAUAAUCUUAUCCGACGCGUCACACGGAAAUAGUGCAAAACAUAAGACGCAUGAACAAGACAUCGGCGCCACUUGUCUAGGGCACAGCGUGGGCGUAUUUCUUUUGUCUCCGAGGAAAGCGAACCAUUACCCAGCUAGCGGAAAAAAAAGUUAUUUUGAAAGUUUUUUUUCGGUACAUUUCGUAACGUGGUUCAGUACAGUGUGUGAUUUGUGACACUUCAUUUACCAUGGACUGGUGUGCACUUCCCUGUGCACGUUUGUGUAGCUGUCGGAAUAGAAGACACAUGGAAGGAGAGUAAGCAGUCAAUCUGGAGGAGGACUGGAUAUUGCAGUCGAAGCGGUGACCAUAGACACAUCCCACGUUCGCUCGUUUCUUUACUCGGUGAAUCAGAGCCUUGGGACUAUUUUGUAAACGAGUGAAAAAGGUGAAAUGAGAUGAUCGAGAUGACCAGCGCGUACUUCUAGAGGCUUCUGAGCAACAAAAUAAAAAACAAGACAGUGUAGCAGUCUAUGGAGGGCUAUCUUCAAGGAUGACCACAAAUGCUCCCGUUAAGGUUUUUCACAAAAUGCAGCAGAUUGCCGUCCAUCCCAUAGUUUGUCAAUGUCUUCAGAACUAGUGAAAAUUCAUGUUCGGUUGUACGUCGUAGUUGAUUCGCUGAAAGAAGUGAACGAAAGAUUCCACGUAACGGACUUCUGAAUUGCCCUGUAGGAUCAUGUCAUUCAACACCGUUGGAUUAUUUUUGUGAGGCUAUGUGAAGUCUUUGGUCCACGCGGCUCAUCGCGAACAAUUCACGCCUUGGAAGACAAUAUUUGCUACAUGAACGACAAUAUACAAUAUUUGUCCUGGUAAACGAUCUCCAUUGCUGUGAAAAGUUAUCAAAAGUUGCUA